rnacentral:rRNA from 1 species
CCCUUAGAUGUCCGGGGCUGCACGCGCGCUACACUGAAGGAAUCAGCGUGCUAAAACCAUUGUCGAAAGGCAUUGGUAAACCCAUUAAAAUCCUACGUGAUUGGGAUCGGGAAUUGCAAUUAUUUCCCUUGAACGAGGAAUUCCCAGUAAGUGUGGGUCAUAAGCUCGCGUUGAUUACGUCCCUGCCCUUUGUACACACCGCCCGUCGCUGCCCGGGACUGAGCCGUUUCGAGAAAAGCGGGGACUGCUGCUGUCGGGGCUUUCGGGCCUUGGCUUCGGUGGAAACCGCUUUAAUCGCAGCGGCUUGAACCGGGCAAAANUCGUAACA